rnacentral:rRNA from 1 species
GAUCCUGGCUCGGGGUGAACGCUAGCUACAGGCUUAACACAUGCAAGUCGAGGGGCAGCAUGAACUUAGCUUGCUAAGUUUGAUGGCGACCGGCGCACGGGUGAGUAACACGUAUCCAACCUGCCGAUGACUCGGGGAUAGCCUUUCGAAAGAAAGAUUAAUACCCGAUGGCAUAGUUCUUCCGCAUGGUGGAACUAUUAAAGAAUUUCGGUCAUCGAUGGGGAUGCGUUCCAUUAGGUUGUUGG